AGUGAACGCUGGCGGCAUGCCUAACACAUGCAAGUCGAACGGCAGCACAGUAAGAGCUUGCCCCUACGGUUGGCGACUGGCGGACGGGUGGGGCAUAGAUCGGAAUCUACUUUUUCGUGGGGGAUUACGUGGGGACACUUCCGCUAAUACCGCAUACGACCUACGGCAGGAAUCAGGGGAUCUUCGCACCUUUCGCGACUGUAUUAGCUGAUGCCGGAUUAGCUAGUUGGUAGGGUAAAGGCCCACCAAGGCGACGAUCCGUAGCUGGUCUGAGAGGAUGAUCAGCCACACUGGAACUGAGACACGGUCCAGACUCCUACGGGAGGCAGCAGUGGGGAAUAUUGGACAAUGGGCGAAAGCCUGAUCCAGCAAUACCGCGUGAGUGAAGAAGGCCUUCGGGUUGUAAAGCCCUUUUAUUGGGAAAGAAAAGAAGCAGGUGAAUACCCCGCUGUUCUGACGGUACCCAAAGAAAAAGCACCGGCUAACUUCGUG
rnacentral:rRNA from 1 species